GCCCUUUCGCUGGCCCAGGAAGGGGUGAAUCACAGAUCAGUGUCAGAGGUGCGAUGAAAACCCAGGAGUUCUGAUUCCUGGGUCACCAUGCUCCCUUUGCCAAGGGUGGAGCCGACACCAACAGACUCUUAGCUCCUGUGCCCUGUGCAUCCUGGUGUUCGUGCACGUGCUGCACGGAAGAGCUGCAUCCUGGGACAAUUUUAUGGCUGAUGAGAACAUAUCUUGAUCCACUCCACAUUUCAGUGUAACCUUGCAGUAUACCCGUAACACUGGAGGCACACAUCUCUUCCCUAGCAGCCCUUAAGAACCUGAAUGGUAGAGAGAAGGAGGAUCACAAAAGUUUGCUUCCAGCUCUAUACUCACCCACAGAUCAACGAGGGGCAAGGAUAGAAGCAGAGACAUCAAUGGAGAAGAGGCUAUAGAAAGAUUCUGAGCAAGAAAUGACAAUGGGUUGGUAAUGGUAGUGCAGGUGAUAAGAAGAAGUCAUGUUCCGGAUGUACUUUUUCAGCCUGCAGACAGAUCAUCAGAAAAUUCAACUUUCAAGUGAGGAUCGUAAGCCAGAGAGUGCAGGACUCCACACCAGGGCAGAUGACCUGUGGAUUCCAGAAGCUCUCAGGAAUUUUGCAGAUUUCUCAAGGGCAACCCUGUCCAUAGAACGGGGAAAAGAACAAGCCCAUGCCUCCAAAGAGAAACUUCACAGUUCGCCUAAGUUUAACCUCUAGUGAUUCAUUCUCUUGUGUGUGGGGGCCUUCCGAUCUCUGGGAGCUCCCUCAAAGGCAAACUCCCAUGCAGAGGGCAUCUCUGAGGACUGAAAUCCAGGUGAUAAUAGUAACUACUGCUUUUUUAGCAUUUAGUGCUAACUUUGGCAUUUGGCCAACCAUCAAACACUCUCUUCCAUCAUCUCGCCCCUCCACCCACAGCCCUGUGUUAUCAAUCCCCUUUCCCAGCAAACUUGGGGACAAGUUGACUUGUCAUCAUCAUCUGUACCUCCCCACUUUACACUCUCUCCACAGUCCACUCCACUAGGGCAUUGGCUGCACAUGUCACCAAAACCACUCUUGUCAGUGUCACCAAAAACUCCCAUGUUGCAAGAUACAAAGGCCAUUUUUCGGUCUCUUGUACUGAGCCUCUCCUAGAAGCAUAAGGUCCCUGGGCUUCCUUGGCACCUCCUCCGCCAGCAUCUUCUCCUCUUUUUGGCUGCUCCUGCCAUAGUUCACCCACUGCCCUCUCCUUCUACCACUCUGUCGAGUACUGGUGCACCCCAGGGCUCAGUCCUAAGCCCCAUUCUUCCCUCUAUCCAUGUGUGCUCCUGCAGUCCCAUGGUUUACACACCAUGCAUUUACCAAUGCCUUUAUAUAGUUCUCCCACCCAAACCUCUCCCUGAGCUCCAGCCAGAAUCACAUAUACAACUGCCUACCUGACCUCCCCACUCAGAUAUAUUACAGAUCACUCGGCUAGUAGCUGGCUAAGGCAGGACAUAAAGUCAACUUCAGAUAGAUCUGAUCUCAAGGCCUGCAUUCUUAAUGACUCCUGGACUAGAAUCCAAGGAGACAGCUAUAAACUCUCUGAGAGAAGAGGCAUGUCCACUCCAAAGAUCUACCCAAUGGCCUAGGACAGACUUAUUCCAUCACUUCUCAUGCUGUGAGAAAUCUGUCAUUGUGGGAUUUCCCCACUUAAGUAUAACUAGGUGGUUACCUUUCCUGCAAUUUUCAAACAGGGCAGAUAUGUUAGGGGUAACAUGGACCCACAAACACCUGGUAUGUCUGUGUCUUCCCAGAGUGUAAACUCUGCUCAAACAUGGACACAGAAAGGCAGACAGCAGGAGAAAUCAUUUUCCUACAAAGAGAAAACAGAUGUGUCUUGGAAGAGAAAAUGAGAUACACCUUUUUGUAAUUUAAAAAAACAAGACUUCAAACUUCAGGUGGACACCUUAGCCUUCUGCCACAGAUUCAAAGGAUAUAAAGUAGAACUACAAAGAGCUUAAGUCCUGACUCCUAGAAGCUUGUUUCUAAUAUCUGCCUCCAUUAGCCUUCGUCUUAAACCAGAAAGGUGGUAUGAACACUCAACAAACUGUCAGUGUACUUUGGAAGAGGUGGGAUAAAAGUGGACAUUUUUGCCUUGCCUCUGAUGUCUUUAGCUAAGCCAAAUAAAUCUGGAAAGAAAAAUUAAAUAUUUCCCUAAAACCUCACAGGAGAAAAAAAGAGAAAGGCUUUCAGAAGUCCCCAGAGAAACAAGAAAUGGCUAUUUCCAAAACAAAGUUUGAUUUGAAAUUAUAAGAAGCUAGAGGUAGUUUUGAAAACCAGUGAACACUCAUGAACUUAAUCAGGCUUAGCAAAGCAGAGACAGAAAUGCAGAUUGGAAGUUGCCCCUGGAUAGCUUGGCCAGCAGAAUAAAACCCAGAGGCAGAAUCAAUUUUUUUUCUUUUAGAUUAAAGCCGCAGCGUCUCUCAGUUGAAGGCAGAGGUAUAAAGUCAAAGACUCCAGAAGUUCUUGGAAAAUGAUAAGUCAAUCUCUUGACAAAUGAUCCAGGGGCAACUUCGAAUUCCUGUUUCUAUCUCUACCUCUCUGAUUACUUUAACAAGCACUUUCUGAUUGGACCUUGGUAAUUCCAGCAAGCCAAGACUUUCCAUGGGACUUCACCUCACCCUCUUAGAUUACUGGCAACCUCGCAUCCCCUGAAUUCCUGUUCAGGGAGAAGAGCAAGUCCUUCCUUCAGGGACUGGAGAAUGACAACCUUCACAGAACCCAGAGCUAGAGACUGAGGACUCAGAAUGUAGACUGGGAAUAAGAGAACUACAGCCAGGGGCCAAAUCCCUCCAGCCACACCAAAAAAAAAAAAAAAAAAAAAAAAAAAAAAGCUUGAUUGGGGUACAUUUGACAUACAAAAAAACUGCACACAUUUAAUGUAUACAAUUUGAUGAGUUGGGUACAUGCAUACAGCCGUGAAACUAUCACCACAAUCAAUGUAAUAAACAUAUCCAGCACCUCC